rnacentral:rRNA from 1 species
AUGUGGAUUGUCCGCGGGCUCAAUGCUCCGGCACGCAGAAAUGCAAUUUUUCAGGUGGUUAACUCGGCAGGACCGGCUAUCGUAUGCCUCCAAAAAACAAAACUGCAUGAUGUACCCGUGAACAUUGUACGUCGGUGUCUUGGCACCAAAUAUGAAAACUUUUUCUACUUGCCGUCUGUGGGCACUCGAGGUGGGAUCUUGGUGGCUCGGGAUGCCGCCGUUAUGCGGCUUUCGAAUCCGCACUACACGGAUCAUACGUUAACAGUGCUUGUGAUGUGCCCGGAGGACGAAAGGCCAUGGUGGCUUACUUGUGUCUACGGGCCACAAGAUCAGGUGGACUGA